rnacentral:rRNA from 1 species
UACGUAGGCGGAAAAUUAAGUCAGUAGUGAAAUCCUGCAGCUUAACUGUAGAACUGUUAUUGAUACUGGUUUUCUUGAAUAUAGUUGAGGUAAGCGGAAUGUGUAAUGUAGCGGUGAAAUGCUUAGAUAUUACACAGAACACCGAUUGCGAAGGCAGCUUACUAAGCUAUGAUUGACGCUGAGGUACGAAAGCGUGGGAGCGAACAGGAUUAGAUACCCUGGUAGUCC